CAGUAGCCACGGUAAUACGUAGGGUGCAAGCGUUAUCCGGAAUUAUUGGGCGUAAAGAGCUCGUAGGCGGUUUGUCGCGUCUGCUGUGAAAACUGGAGGCUCAACCUUCAGCCUGCAGUGGGUACGGGCAGACUAGAGUGCGGUAGGGGAGAUUGGAAUUCCUGGUGUAGCGGUGGAAUGCGCAGAUAUCAGGAGGAACACCGAUGGCGAAGGCAGAUCUCUGGGCCGUAACUGACGCUGAGGAGCGAAAGCGUGGGGAGCGAACAGGAUUAGAUACCCGCGUAGUCCCUGUCUCUUAUAC
rnacentral:rRNA from 1 species